rnacentral:rRNA from 1 species
UACGUAGGGUCCGAGCGUUGUCCGGAAUCAUUGGGCGUAAAGGGCGCGUAGGUGGCCCGGUCAGUCUUUGGUGAAAGCGCGGGGCUCAACCCUGCGUCGGCCAGGGAUACUGCCGCGGCUCGAGCACUGUAGAGGCAGGCGGAAUUCCGGGUGUAGCGGUGGAAUGCGUAGAGAUCCGGAAGAACACCGGUGGCGAAGGCGGGUCUCUGGGCCGAUAUUGACGCUGAGGAGCGAAAGCGUGGGGAGCGAACAGG